rnacentral:rRNA from 1 species
ACCGGCGCACGGGUGAGUAACGCGUAUGUAAUCUGCCUUGUACAGAGGGAUAGCCCAGAGAAAUUUGGAUUAAUACCUCAUAGUAUUACCGAAUCGCAUGAUUUGGUAAUUAAAGCUCCGGCGGUACAAGAUGAACAUGCGUGACAUUAGCUAGUUGGUAAGGUAACGGCUUACCAAGGCCACGAUGUCUAGGGGUUCUGAGAGGAUGAUCCCCCACACUGGUACUGAGACACGGACCAGACUCCUACGGGAGGCAGCAGUGAGGAAUAUUGGUCAAUGGACGCAAGUCUGAACCAGCCAUCCCGCGUGAAGGAUGACUGCCCUAUGGGUUGUAAACUUCUUUUAUAUGCAAAUAAACCUACUUUCGUGAAAGUAGCUGAAGGUAGCAUAUGAAUAAACACCGGCUAACUCCGU